CCACAAUCAAAUGCGAGGAACUUCGCAUCAAAAUGUUUUAUAAAAUAUUUUUGGACUUGUAAUAUUUUUGUGUGUGAAAUUAAAUUGGACUUAGAAUAUUUUCCGAUGGUUGUGAAUUGAAUUAUUUGGACUUGUAUUAUUUUUGUGAAUUUAUUUAUUAGACUUGUAGUUUUUUGUGUGAAAAAUAAUAUUAAUUUUUAAAUUCAAGUUAAGGUUUGUUUUGUUUCAAAUAUUUGUCCUCCAAGUCCUAUUCUUACGUUGGGCCCAUUACACUUCCGCACGAGAACGUGCUCAAAACAAUAUCGUGAAGUUUUGAAUACCAGUCGAACUCGGCCGUCUGCCAAACAUAUUACACAGGGAAAAAUAUUUUUUUUUUGUAUUCUAUAUAGUCAACCGAAGUUGAUAUCACCACAAGAUACUCCUUAAAUGCUGUGAAAAUUUUAAGUAUUCAAAAAUAUCGGCCUUAACUACACUUCAAAAUUCGAAGAAUCAGAAUUCGAAUAUAUGCAAAAUUUAACCAAAAAAUUGAGGUAAGCACACUUAGUGAAUAACCUGUAUACUCUAUACUCGUACAUUAUAGAAGAAAUUACUAUACUGUGAAUAGAAUUAAAUCAGUAUUUUUGUUUUAAGAUAAAGCUACAAUUUGGUUCAGCACAUUG